UUCCUGAAUCAAAGAGAAUGGACUAUAUCCAGACUUGGUGCAAGCACAUUCUGCUUCAGGAAACAAAUUUUUGGUAUUGUGAGGCAAGACAGGAGGACAUGGAAGGGAAGCACCGGCUCUGAGUACUACAAGGAGCUCAAUGGGUGCCGCUUGCUACAGAGAUCCAGCAAUUUGAAGCCUAUUUAUUGUUUGCUUGUGAGCCAAUAGACCUGUCUACUAUGUGGAUGAGAGGAACACUAGAAGAGCAGAAAAGGCAUCUUGCUCUGGAUACAGAGGCAUGAGUUUUAAUAUGACUGCACAUUUGCACUGAAGGUCAUACCCUGUCAACUGAGAAAUAAAUGGGGUAGCGAGUAAAAGUAGCUGAACAUGAUGCUCCCAUCACUGCCUUGUAGCUUGUGGUCCAGUUGACAAUCUAAACCUGAGAUGACUGUUGAGUAGUUUGAUAAUUUUGAUUUCUCUGCUCUGUACAUGCUAUAACAGGGAAUGGUAUUGUCAUAAGUACUCUGUGAUUAAUUGACCUAAAUCUGUCCCUUUAUUUUCUUGGCUCUUAUUUCACACGCCCAAAGAUGAAAACUCUGGGGAGUGUUGACACUUUUCUUUGUGGAUAUUUCUGAAAUGUUUUGCCAUGUUGUUGUUGUUGUUGUUUUUUUUGGCAAAUUCAACCUGAAUUGACAGAUUUACAGCCACUACGAAGCUAUAGAUUUUGGCAAAUAAAUGACUUGUUAAAAAUUGUUCUAUCCAGCUCUAUUUGCCAUUACUAGAAAAAAGUUUAGUCAUGUGAUUAAGACAUAUGCAAUGGGAUCUUAACUCUUCCACAGAUUUCCAGGGUGGCCUUGGAGCUAUCCUUUAAUCUUUGUUCCUGUAUCUGUAAAAUGGGUAUAAGAUUUUCAUUGCCCUAUCUAUGUCAAUGGAAAAUUAUUUAGUGAAGGGACAGUUUCUUGUUUUUGUACAGGGUCUAUAAUGACAGGCCUCUAAUUUCACUAGGUGCUACCAUAAUACAAAUAAAAAUAGAAAUACAUUUUCAUAUGCUUCUCCCUAAUACCCUAGUAUUUCAUUAGAUCCCCUGGCAUUAGAAUCAUGGCCUUUGAAAGGACCUCGAGAGUCAUCUAUUCCCCAGGACAGGCACAGGAUGCACUAUUCCAGGGAGUACUGUCUGAGAGUAACGACCAUUUUAUACUCCAUGUGUUCUUUUUACCUUUGAGCUUUAUCCUGCCGUAAGUACUAUAGACUGUAAAAAAAAAACAACAAAAACCAAAAAAAAACCAAAAAAAAAAACCAACUGUACUUUAAUCUUGAAUGUUUCCAGCUUCCUUUUUUAUA